AGAAUCAACGCUGGCGGCGUGCCUAACACAUGCAAGUCGAACGCGAAAGUCCCGAAAGGGGCAAGUAGAGUGGCAAACGGGUGAGUAACGCGUGGGUGACCUGCCUUCGAGCGGGGGAUAACGUUCCGAAAGGGACGCUAAUACCGCAUAACAUCCUGCCUUUGAAGAGGUGGAGAUCAAAGCUGGGGAUCGCAAGACCUGGCACUUGAAGAGGGGCUCGCGUCUGAUUAGCUAGUUGGUGAGGUAACGGCUCACCAAGGCAACGAUCAGUA
rnacentral:rRNA from 1 species